rnacentral:lncRNA from 10 species
GCUGGUGAGAGGUGACAGCAUGCUGGCAGUCCUCACAGCCUUCGCUCGCUCUCGGCGCCUCCUCUGCCUGGGCUCCCACUUUGGCGGCACUUGAGGAGCACUUCAGCCCACCGCUGCACUGUGUGAGCCCCUUUCUGGGCUGGCCAAGACUGGAGCCGGCUCCCUCAGCUUGCAGGGAGAUGUGUAGGGAGGCGCGAGCGGGAACCGGGGCUGCGCGCGGCGCUUGCGGGCCAGCUGGAGUUCCGGGUGGGCGUGGGCUUGGCGGGCCGCGCACUCGGAGCAGCCGGCCGGCCCUGCCAGCCCGGGCAAUGAGGGGCUUAGCACCCGGGCCAGCGGCUGCGGAGGGUGUACUGGGUCCCCCAGCAGUGCCAGCCCACCGGCGCUGUGCUCGAUUUCUCGCCGGGCCUUAGCUGCCUUCCCGCGGGGCAGGGCUCGGGACCUGCAGCCCGCCAUGCCUGAGCCUCCCACCCACUCCGUGGGCUCCUGUGCGGCCAAGCCUCCCCGAUGAGCGCCGCCCCCUGCUCCACGGCGCCCAGUCCCAUCGACCACCCAAGGGCUGAGGAGUGCGGGCGCACAGCGCGGGACUGGCAGGCAUCUCCACCUGCAGCCCCAGUGCAGGAUCCACUGGGCGAAGCCAGCUGGGCUCCUGAGUCUGGUGAGGACGUGGAGAACCUUUAUGUCUAGCUCAGGGAUUGUAAAUACACCAAUUGGCACUCUGUAUCUAGCUCAAGGUUUGUAAACACACCAAUCAGCACCCUGUGUCUAGCUCAGGGUUUGUGAAUGCACCAAUCUAUACUCUGUAUCUAGCUACUCUGGUGGGGCCUUGGAGAACCUUUGUGUCUAGCUCAGGGAUUGUAAAGGCACCAAUCAGCGCCCUGUGGAAGCAGACCACUUGGCUCUACCAAUCAGCAGGAUGUGGGUGGGGCCAGAUAAGAGAAUAAAAGCAGGCUGCCGGAGCCAGCAGUGGCAACAGGCUCGGGUCCCCUUUCACAUGGUGGAAGCUUUGUUCUUUUGCUCUUUGCAAUAAAUCUUGGUACUGUUCUCUCUUUGGGUCCACGCUACCUUUAUGAGAUGUAACACUCACCACAAAGGUCUGCAGCUUCACUCCUGAAGCCAGCGAGACCACGCACCCACCGGGAGGAACGAACAACUCCAGAUGCGCCGCCUUAAGAGCUGUAACACUCGCCGCCAAGGUCUGCAGCUUCACUCCUGAGCCAGCGAGACCAUGCACCCACCAGAAGGAAGAAACUCCGAACGCAUCUGAACAUCAGAAGGAACAAACUCCGGACACGCUGCCUUUAAGAACUGUAACACCGCGAGGGUCCGCGGCUUCAUUCUUGAAGUCAGUGAGACCAAGGACCCACCAAUUCCGGAUACACUGGGAUUUAGAUGCCAACUUUACUUUUUUUAGGGUCUGCUGGGCUGAGCCUUUAAAAUUUCCCUUUGCUUUUAGAAAUUAAUUUAUGGACCAUACUUGUAUUUGACCCAUUAUCCCAAGAAAAUUCUUAAAGCAAACAUAAAAUACAUGGUCCAGGAUUUAAUCUAGUUGUCAUAUCAUUUUAGGUUUUCUUAAUCUGUAACAGCUGUUCAGUCUCUCUUUGUCUUUCAUGACAAUACCAUUUUAAAAAAUUAAUAGACUUUAUUUUUAAGAGCAAUUUUAGGUUUACAGUACAAUUGGGCAAGAUAAUAGUAUUAUGUCAAUGUAAAUUUUCUGAUUUUGAUAGUUAUACAUGGUUCUGUAAAAAACUGGCUUGUUUUUAAGAAAUAAACUGAAGUGCUUAGGGAAAAGAGCAUCAUUCUGCAAUUUACUCUUAAAAACUAUAUAUAUAGUUUUUUCUAUGUAUAUAUAUAGAGAGAGAGAGAGAGAGAGAGUGUGUGUGUGCGUGUGUAGACAAUAAAGCAAGUGAAGUAAAAUGUUAACAAUUAGGGAAUCUGGAAGUCUGUGUUCUAUAUAUCUUUAUAUCCAAUAAUUUUACUUAAAAUAAUGUUUUAAGGAAAUGGUCAUAAAUAUUUUUCUUUUUUUUUUUUUUUUUGAGAUGGAGUCUC